rnacentral:rRNA from 1 species
AUGACAAUAAUAGACUUCAUAGACGUGAUUGAUGAUAUCAUUGACUUGAGCAGCGAUGGGGAGAAUGUUGAACAGGAUGAAAUCCCAGCUCAGCCCCCGGCGACGAUGCUUGAUAGGCAGGAGGUGUUUGUCGAAGCUGGUGAUGGAAGGCAAGAGGCUGACGAGUCCGGAAAUACUAUCCAAGCUACCACAUGGUCCAUGUUUAGGGAGAAAGGGCCUCUUGAUACAACUGCAAACCAGAAUUGCGCUUCAAUGACAGUAUCACUCCCAAGCCCUGCUUCAGCGGCUUGGGAGGCUCAUCCCUCAUCACAGCCGGACCACACUGAAGAAGGGUCCUCUACUCGGUCCAGAAAUACUAUAAUAGAUACCACUGCAACACCGUCCUCGGUUGCAGAAAAAGGGCCUCUUGAUGCCACUGCAACACAGAAUUUUCCUCUAACAUCAGUGACAUUCCCAAGUGCCACUUUCACGACUCCAAAGGGUCUGACACAUGAAGGAGAUAAUGGAAGGCUGCUGAGGAUGUAUGGGAGACGUCCUAGGAAGAAGAAGAACUACCAUACCGAAACCCCUAGGAGAAGUCCUAGAGCUGGGAGUCGAUCGCAAAAGGCCCCGCAUGCUAGAGCCAGCAGAAGAAUCAACUGCCUCACCAAGCAAUGCAGAAUUUUCAAAAACCUGCUCGCCUGCACCCCCAACUAG